UCAGAGAGCAGGUCAGGGAAGCCGUUGUCACCAUGGUGCUAGGUGUCCUCCUCCUAAUAGGACUCAGGUGAAGGACUUGUUCCUUUCCUCAGUCUGUAUGCUCACCAAGUUCUCAGGCCUGCUUUUCCUGAUAUGGUUUUAAUGCACCCACAUGUCCUGCAGUCCCAGUUCUCCCACAGAAUUUAUGAGACCCUUUCUACUCCCAGGAGUAAGUCAUUUAUCAAUCUGUAUUGCAUGGUACCAAACAGAUGGUGCCCUUCACACGUCCACGCAGAUAAAGUCCUCUGUCCUCAAAAUGGAGUAAAACACUGAUUGCAAAAUGGAGGAAAUGCUCCUUGCAAAAUGGAAUCACUUGGGGCAAGCCGUGUACUGAGCAAUUGCUAAUUUUACACAGUGAGCAGUCACUGACAACAGAGACCAAUGUGAUCUCAACACAGCUUCCACAGUGUGUCUGACUGGCACAGCGGAGCCAUUUCCCUGUGGACCUGGGUGGUGAAGGGGCUUCCCGUAGUACCACAGCAAAAGAAGGUGCUGUUUUGACAUCCCAGAGGGCAGAUGUCACACAGACAAGAGAACAUAUGCCCGUGUCAGCACAGAACCCUACCCACAGCCACGCACGACCUCACAAUGGCAUCACUGAAGAGGCCUUGCUGCCCUGGAGAUCUGCAGUGAGGUACAACUGGCAAGCUCCUAGGUCUGCUCUGGGCUGGUAAUAGAACCAAACUAGGCCAGAAGGCCCACAUGCUCCCCAUGAACUGUGGGCCACUGCAGGGGACAAGGGCAGCGUCUAACAUGAGGGGGUAGAGCUGAUAGAACCACCAAAAGGAGGUUAAGCCACCAAAACCCACUCUAAUGCCUGGAUAGGACCAUGUCUCUGGCCCUAUCUGCUGCUUUCUGGGGUCAAAGCCCAUGCUUUCUCCGGCUGGGAAACGCAGCUUGCUGGGGUACGCGAUGAGUGGAAGUAUAAUGCUGGACACUCAACCCGGUCUUCCAAGUAAUUCCAUGUCACCACCAGGAGCGUCUUGGCUUGCACCCUUUCCUCUCACUCAGUGGACCGCUUCUCUUUUCCCAUAGGCAUGUGCACCACGCAUCAAUACACAUUCGUUAGCAAGUGAUGUGGACAGUUAUCACAGGACAGGUAUUAAAGAGAACGCCAGGGUUAUAUGGCAUUUUUGUUUGUUUGUUUUGAGGUGCCUUACCCCAUAACCCUGUGGGGUUUGCUGUUCACUGGAUGCCCAGGCUGGGCUAGUCUUAAACUCCUGGCAAUCCUCCUGCCUUAGCCUUCUAAGCACCGCAUUUCCAGGCAUGCACCUCCACACUCAGCUUCUGGGUAUUUGAGCUUGUAUUAGGUACCUUUUAUCUUGGAUCACAGGGAUACUUUGAAAAUAUUUAAUUAGCUCUCAAAACGUGUCUGCAAGGAAGACACUAGUGUUUGCAUCCAUAAAAUAUGAACGAAAACAAAAAGGUAAAAAGGCUUUCCCUCAGUGCCUCAGAAAUGAGUCAUUAGCAGUGUGGCAGCCACAGGUCCCUAACCCAUCCCGCUUCUCCUCGGCCUGCAAGCACACCCUGUCCCAAACAGCCCCCACCAAGUCCACAUGGCUUCUGCUGAUAGGGCUCCAGAGCACUGUGGCAUGCUAAAUUUGUAUGGAGAAAGAGAAAUUUGAAACAUGAAGUAUAGCUAAGCUCAAGGUUAUGAUAAACUGUAAAGGUCAUUUGAUGCUCUUCUCAGUCUAGUCUCGAACUGUAGCACUCUCUUUGGCUAUAUUAGUUGUAUUUGGUGGCAGUUAGAGAGAGCUGCCAGCAACCCAAGGGAUGCCUGUGAUGCCACCAGCACUGGGGUUGUGCUGCUAUGAUGAGCACUCUACAGAAUAAGACUCUGCCUUAAAAACUAAGCAAAACUGGCCUGGGUGGGCUAAGCCCACCAGAGACGACCCCACCUAGCAUCACACUGAAGAUACCCAGAGGCCCUUGUGCCACUAAGGUCGUGUUCCUUUCAACUUGCACUAGGCUUGCAACAGCAAUGAUACCUCCCUCUGACUUCUGAGACAUAGAACUGCUCUUCAGACAAGUAAAGCCUGCCAGCUGCUAAGUCCUACAGGAAUGAGAAUUUCAGAGGACACGUGGCUGUCUGAAGCCCUUGCUCAGACUCAGAGCAUUCCCCACGCUGGAUCACAGAUUUUCACUGAAGACACAAUCCCAUUCAAGUCUUAGGCUGAAACUCCAACCCACACCUACAACGUCUCUUCUGUUUCCUCUCUGCAUGUUUCAUGAUAAGAUCUCCAUCGCGUAGAGGGUCCUCUCCAGUAAAAGUAAAAGGAGAAGCAAGAGACGCCCCUUAGGACCUGCCUGGCCCACUGACAAACUAGCAAGUCAAGGACAGCUCUCUGUAUUUUCCACAGAUGUUAAAAGUGCUUUGAAAUAUGAAGAGUUGGUGGAUCUUUGUACUCACCAAAGGUGAAGCUCUGCGCCCCACUGUUUUAGAAAAUCAACCUCAUUGGGCAUGGUGGCACAUGCCUUUAAUCCCAGCACUUGGGAGGCAGAGGCAGGCGAAUUUCUGAGGCCAGCAUGGUCUACAGAGUGAGUUCCAGAUGUCACAACUAGCCACGAGAGCCUGUUAUAGCCCUUCAAGUUAUCACAGACCCGUGGCCGGAACUUCAAGCCUGCCUUCAUCAGCGAGACUGUCCACUGAGGUGGUUUCCAAACCAACCUUGCAAAUUGUAAGGUGUGUGGAACCUGUGUGUGUGUGAAGGUACCAUGACAUUCACCACUUCAAGACGAGUAUUAUUCUGCCAUAUCCUUUAUUAUCUACACCGUGGCUUCCUCCUGAACUUUGGCAGAUAAUUGCCUAGCUGCCAGUAACAAGCAGCCAGAAGAAAUGCUUACCCACCAUCCAACACGGCUGAACUCACCGUUCCCUAGUUAUCCUUGGCAACAGCCAACUGCACAACAAAAGAACCCUUCCCAUCUCCUUCUACUUGUCCUGCAGUAGCGGCGCCUUUGCCUGCAAGCAGCGCCUGUUCUGCCCUGAUUCUUUCAUCAGAGGAUGAAUCAGCAGGACUUCCCAAAACUAAAAUUUUAUUGAAGUUGAAUCACUCAUUUUCUA
rnacentral:lncRNA from 1 species